CGGGUGGGUAACGCGUAGGAACCUGCCAAGCAGGUGGGGAAUAGCAGCUGGAAACGGCUGCUAAUACCGCAUACCGCCCGUUACGGGGGAAAGUAUUUAUCGCUUGUUUGAGGGUCCUGCGUUCGAUUAGCUAGUUGGUGAGGUAACGGCCCACCAAGGCGACGAUCGAUAGCGUGGUCUGAGAGGAUGAUCAGCCACACGUGGGACUGAGACACCGGCCCAGACUCCGUACGGGAGGCAGCAGGUGGGGAAUAUUGGACAAGUGGGGGAAACCCUGAUCCAGCAAUGCCGCGUGCGUGAAGAAGGCCUUAGGGUGUAAAGCGCUUUCACCUGUGAUGAUGAUGACAGUAGCAGGAGAAGAAGCCCCGGCUAACUCCGUG
rnacentral:rRNA from 1 species